rnacentral:rRNA from 1 species
AUACGGAGGGUGCAAGCGUUAAUCGGAAUUACUGGGCGUAAAGCGCGCGUAGGCGGCUUUGUAAGUCGGAUGUGAAAGCCCUGGGCUCAACCUGGGAACUGCAUUCGAAACUGCAUGGCUAGAGUAUGGGAGAGGGAAGUGGAAUUUCCGGUGUAGCGGUGAAAUGCGUAGAUAUCGGAAGGAACACCAGUGGCGAAGGCGGCUAUCUGGAUCAACACUGACGCUGAGGUACGAAAGCGUGGGGAGCAAACAGGAUUAGAAACCCCUGUAGUCC